rnacentral:rRNA from 1 species
GAGUUUGAUCCUGGCUCAGAUUGAACGCUGGCGGCAUGCCUUACACAUGCAAGUCGAACGGUAACAGGUCUUUCGGGAUGCUGACGAGUGGCGAACGGGUGAGUGAUACAUCGGAACGUGCCUAGUAGUGGGGGAUAACUACUCGAAAGAGUGGCUAAUACCGCAUGAGAUCUAUGGAUGAAAGCAGGGGACCUUCGGGCCUUGUGCUACUAGAGCGGCCGAUGGCAGAUUAGGUAGUUGGUGGGAUAAAAGCUUACCAAGCCUACGAUCUGUAGCUGGUCUGAGAGGACGAUCAGCCACACUGGGACUGAGACACGGCCCAGACUCCUACGGGAGGCAGCAGUGGGGAGUUUUGGACAAUGGGCGCAAGCCUGAUCCAGCAAUGCCGCGUGCAGGAUGAAGGCCUUCGGUU